GAUUCAGGUCAUACCAGGAUAUAUGUUGUUUAUACAUCUCAUGUGUGAUGAAUGAUGGUGUAAGUCAUAGCAGGAUAUAUGUUGUUUAUACAUCUCAUGUGUGAUGAAUGAUGAUUCAGGUCAUACCAGGACAUAUGUUGUUUAUACAUCUCAAGUGUGAUGAAUGAUGAUUCAGGUCAUACCAGGAUACCGUACAAUCAGAAAUUAUUGAGAAUUUAAAGAUUGUAAUU